rnacentral:rRNA from 1 species
UACGUAGGGUGCGAGCGUUGUCCGGAAUUAUUGGGCGUAAAGAGCUCGUAGGCGGUGUGUCACGUCGUUCGUGAAAACCUGCGGCUCAACCGUGUGGUCUGCAGUCGAUACGGGCAGGCUGGAGUUCGGUAGGGGAGACUGGAAUUCCUGGUGUAGCGGUGAAAUGCGCAGAUAUCAGGAGGAACACCAGUUGCGAAGGCGGCUGACUGGACACAUAUUGACGCUGAGGCUCGAAAGCAUGGGGAGCAAACAGG